rnacentral:rRNA from 1 species
AACGUCUCAGUUCGGACUGUGGUCUGCAACCCGACCACACGAAGCUGGAAUCGCUGGUAAUCGCGAAUCAGAAUGUCGCGGUGAAUACGUUCCCGGGUCUUGUACACACCGCCCGUCACACCAUGGGAGUCAGCAACGCCCGAAGUCAGUGACCUAACCGAAAGGGAGGAGCUGCCGAAGGCGGGGCCGGUAACUGGGGUGAAGUCGUAACAAGGUACC